GGAUUAGAUACCCUGGUAGUCCACGCUGUAAACGAUGAGUACUAGCUGUUGGAUCUGGUGUAAAAGAUUUAGUGGCGCAGCUAACGCGUUAAGUACUCCGCCUGGGGACUACGGCCGCAAGGUUAAAACUCAAAGGAAUUGACGGGGACCCGCACAAGCGGUGGAGCAUGUGGUUUAAUUCGAUGCAACGCGAAGAACCUUACCUGCCCUUGACAUCCAUAGAAGAAUCCAGAGAUGGAUUUGUGCCUUCGGGAACUAUGAGACAGGUGCUGCAUGGCUGUCGUCAGCUCGUGCUG
rnacentral:rRNA from 1 species